GGGACACAGAGUAGGACAACUGCCGAGGAAGGGGGGACAUUGAGGCAGCUUGCAGAAACACACAUAGAGAAACAGAACCAAAGAGCAGGGUAACCAGCAAACCAGGCAGUGGAGGCAGGGAUGGGUACCCAUCCCGAGAUCUUGGGUGAUACCAAAGGCGGCACAUCCGGAAGGCUGGUUAUACCUAGCGUGGAGGGGAGAGGGAGAACUGUUUCUUCCGUUCAAUAAAGCAAACCCUUCAACA
rnacentral:lncRNA from 1 species